rnacentral:misc_RNA from 1 species
GCAAACUUGGUCAUUUAGAGGAAGUAAAAGUCGUAACAAGGUUUCCGUAGGUGAACCUGCGGAAGGAUCAUUACUGAGUUAGGGUCUCCUAGGCCCGACCUCCCAACCCUUUGCUGAACAAACCUCUUGUUGCUUCGGCGGGCCCGUCCGAGAGGACCGCCGGAGGACCGUCAACAGACAUCCUCUGGCCCGCGCCCGCCGAAAGCCUACACAUAAAAUCCUGAAUAAAUCGUGUUCUGUCUUAGUUUUUAUUGAAUUAAAAGCAAAACUUUCAACAACGGAUCUCUUGGUUCUGGCAUCGAUGAAGAACGCAGC